CCUACGGGAGGCAGCAGUGAGGAAUAUUGGUCAAUGGACGCAAGUCUGAACCAGCCAUGCCGCGUGGAGGAUGAAGGUUUUCGGAUUGUAAACUCCUUUUGUUAGAGAAGAUAAUGACGGUAUCUAACGAAUAAGCACCGGCUAACUCCGUGCCAGCAGCCGCGGUAAUACGUAGGGUGCGAGCGUUAAUCGGAAUUACUGGGCGUAAAGGGUGCGCAGGCGGUUGAGUAAGACAGAUGUGAAAUCCCCGAGCUUAACUCGGGAAUGGCAUAUGUGACUGCUCGACUAGAGUGUGUCAGAGGGAGGUGGAAUUCCACGUGUAGCAGUGAAAUGCGUAGAUAUGUGGAAGAACAUCGAUGGCGAAGGCAGCCUCCUGGGACAUAACUGACGCUCAGGCACGAAAGCGUGGGGAGCAAACAGGAUUAGAUACCCUAGUAGUC
rnacentral:rRNA from 1 species